GCUAGGGGAAGGCAUUCAGUCCAGGGCUUCCCUGUGUCUUGCAUGGCUUUUGCAAUCUUGUUCUUUAAGGUGCCAUUUGCCCUUUCUACUUUCCCACUACUCUGGGGGUGAUAUGGGGUGUGGAAGGCCUGACUGAUCCCUAAGGCUUUCAUAAUUUCUUGCAUUAUUUCCCCAGUGAAAUGGCUACCUCUGUCACUUUCAAUCACUUCAG